UUUAAUUUUGAAUCCACUUUUUAAAUCCUCUUAAUCUCAGUUGUGGAUCAAAAUCAAUCCGACUACUAAGAUCACAUAACUCUUUUCUUUCCUUUUAAAACAAAAACAAACCCUAAUCCUCAUUUUUCUCAAGAACAGCCGCACCUCCCUUCUUCUCUCUCUCUCGUGCCGCUACCUUAACCUCCAUGCCUCCGACGACGACGAAACCAUCACCGGCAACCCCAUGUCGGAUGAAACCAGCCACCAGCGCCAUCCUUGCAGCCAUAUAGAUGGCGACCGCCGUCGUUCUAGACCAACAAUAAUCGCCCCAAUGUCACCCGCAUCCCCAUUCGACCACUGUCGUCUCUCCUUCUCUCUCCGCUACCAUGCAUCCGGCGAGAAAACCAGUGCCAACCAGCUGCCGCUCUAGCCACAACUUCAGCAAAUCCAGUCAAUCGCCACUAUUGACCCAUUUCACCGGAAGACGGAUUCCUAAAAUCCGUUUCAGGUGUAAUACAUAGUUUCGUAGAUUUGAAGAGUCGCCGGAGUAUUGGGGAGGGGCUGCCCAUUCCUUUUUCUUUAUUUAGUUUUUUAUUUUAAUUCAUUGUGUUGUAAUAACUUUUGUAAACCUCAGUGUAAUAAUAAAUUUAUGGAGAAAACUUGGAGGCGGGGA